UAAACGGCGAAAAGCAUGGUUUUAGCAGUUGUUUCGUUCCCGGCAAAGAGAAGAUUGAUAAUGAAGUCUGCUACAGCUUCAUCCGACUUUAAUAUAAUUUGGAGCAGAUGUACUUGAGCUUCUCCCUCAACAUUGAAAAGCUGCAUCAACCAGAGAUCUCAUGACUUGCAGGCAAUUUGCAGACGACCAGACAGCCUGUGAGUGACACGUGACAGAUCGAAGAUCCAGAGAGACUAUUGGCAUGACCAUCUCGCGACCAAUUAGCCUGUGACAAGGUCACGAAAUACCUGUUGGCAGUCUGCACUAUUCUUAUUCUGAUCUUCUUUUUAGUCCACACCAUGUAAGCCAAAACACACACCCUUUGCAUGUGUGAAUAGGAAGUAAGUGUGUGAGUUGAGCUUAUAAGAUCAAGAAAGAGCAUUUCUUUAUCUCAACCCUUUUGUAUGAGAGAGAGUGCCUUAGUCCAGGGAAACAAAUAUUUAUCCUCUCUCCUCAUUUUCUCUCAAUAUCACAUAUCCUUGAGAAAAAUUUGUAACCUUCACCUCCAUCACAAAACCUUGAGUGUUGUGAGUUUGUUGAAGGUCUAGAAACUUAGUGAAGCCAAAUCAAAUCCAAAUCCUUUGAUGGCUUUCUGUUGGUAGCUCAACAGUGAUGACUCCAAGAGGCUAGGUGAAGAAAAGACUCGUAGAUAAGAUGGUUGCUAGCUGGAGCUUGGAGAGUUCAAGUACAUAAGAAGAUAUAGGCUUGGAGGGUUUAUAGUCAUCUAUUUACGCUCGGGGUUCGGAUUUUUCUCUUCCAUAACACUUUGUGGUGUUAUGUGUGGUUUGCCUUCUUUAUUCUUUAUUUCCUUUAACUUUCUAUAUUGUCAUGUUUGUGUAGUGUAGUUAAAAGUAUGGAAAUUUGCUAAGAAACUUACACUCGGAC